GACGAACGCUGGCGGCGUGCUUAACACAUGCAAGUCGAACGGUAAGGCCCUUCGGGGUACACGAGUGGCGAACGGGUGAGUAACACGUGGGUGAUCUGCCCUGCACUUCGGGAUAAGACUGGGAAACUGGGUCUAAUACCGGAUAGGACCACUGCCUGCAUGGGUGGUGGUGGAAAGCUUUUGCGGUGUGGGAUGGGCGCGCGGCAUAUCAGCUUGUUGGUGGGGUGAUGGCCUACCAAGGCGACGACGGGUAGCCGGCGUGAGAGGGUGACCGGCCACACUGGGACUGAGAUACGGCCCAGACUCCUACGGGAGGCAGCAGUGGGGAAUAUUGCACAAUGGGCGCAAGCCUGAUGCAGCGACGCCGCGUGAGGGAUGACGGCCUUCGGGUUGUAAACCUCUUUCAGCACCGACGAAGCGCAAGUGACGGUAGGUGCAGAAGAAGGACCGGCCAACUACGUGCCAGCAGCCGCCGUAA
rnacentral:rRNA from 1 species